rnacentral:rRNA from 1 species
AUAUUAGUAAUGGGCGAAAGCCUGCACUAGCAACGCCGCGUGUGCGAAGAAGGCCUUCGGGUUGUAAAGCACUUUUUGAGAGGAUGAGGAAGGACGGUACUCUCAGAAUAAGUCUCGGCUAACUACGUGCCAGCAGCCGCGGUAACACGUAGGAGGCGAACGUUAUUCGGAUUUACUGGGCGUAAAGCGCGUUAAGGUGGUUUGGUAAGUAGUGCGUGAAAGCUCCUGGCUGAACUGGGAGAGGCCGUUCUAAACUGCCGAAC